GCUUAUUUAGUUUAAAAUUUUUAGAAUUGUAAUUUGAAAUGAUACAGGUAAUAUUUAGGCG
rnacentral:tRNA from 1 species